CUUUCAGUACCAGAAUUGUCCAAAUUAAAGGCUCAAAGGACAGGCUAGACAUUCACUAUAUUAAGACCAUGCAUAUGUCCCCAGACCUAGUUCUUUCCCUGGGUCUGAUUUUAUAAAUGCUGGUGAUAAAC
ensembl:snoRNA SNORA72 Small nucleolar RNA SNORA72